CCUGAACAGCUUUCAAAAAGGCUCCAGAAUUUCUGCAAGAGACCAGAUAUUAUAAGAAAACAUCUCUAUAAGGAAACAGUUAAACUUCAAGAAAAAGAGAGAACCAAAAAUGCAAUUUAACACCCAAUUUCAAGCUCA
rnacentral:sRNA from 1 species